AUUGAACGCUGGCGGCAGGCUUAACACAUGCAAGUCGAGCGGGGUGAUGGUGCUUGCACUAUCACUUAGCGGCGGACGGGUGAGUAAUGCUUAGGAAUCUGCCUGUUAGUGGGGGACAACAUCUCGAAAGGGAUGCUAAUACCGCAUACGUCCUACGGGAGAAAGCAGGGGAUCACUUGUGACCUUGCGCUAAUAGAUGAGCCUAAGUCGGAUUAGCUAGUUGGUGGGGUAAAGGCCUACCAAGGCGACGAUCUGUAGCGGGUCUGAGAGGAUGAUCCGCCACACUGGGACUGAGACACGGCCCAGACUCCUACGGGAGGCAGCAGUGGGGAAUAUUGGACAAUGGGGGGAACCCUGAUCCAGCCAUGCCGCGUGUGUGAAGAAGGCCUUAUGGUUGUAAAGCACUUUAAUCGAGGAGGAGGCUCUUUUGGUUAAUACCCAAGAUGAGUGGACGUUACUCGCAGAAUAAGCACCGGCUAACUCUGUGCCAGCAGCCGCCGUAA
rnacentral:rRNA from 1 species